rnacentral:rRNA from 1 species
GAUGAACGCUGGCGGCGUGCCUAAUACAUGCGAGUCGAGCGAACAGACGAGGAGCUUGCUCCUCUGACGUUAGCGGCGGACGGGUGAGUAACACGUGGAUAACCUACCUAUAAGACUGGGAUAACUUCGGGAAACCGGAGCUAAUACCGGAUAAUAUAUUGAACCGCAUGGUUCAAUAGUGAAAGACGGUUUUGCUGUCACUUAUAGAUGGAUCCGCGCCGCAUUAGCUAGUUGGUAAGGUAACGGCUUACCAAGGCAACGAUGCGUAGCCGACCUGAGAGGGUGGACGGCCACACUGGAACUGAGGCCCGGUCCAGACUCCUACGGGAGGCAGCAGUAGGGAAUCUUCCGGAAUGGGCGAAAGCCUGAAGGAGCAACGCCGCGUGAGUGAUGAAGGUCUUCGGAUCGUAAAACUCUGUUAUUAGGGAAGAACAAAUGUGUAAGUAACUAUGCACGUCUUGACGGUACCUAAUCAGAAAGCCACGGCUAACUACGUG